GCUACGUAGGGUCAAGCGGCGGCGGUAGGAGGUAGGGGGCGAGCGUGAAUCGGAAUUACUGGGCGUAAAGCGUGCGCAGGCGGGUUGGGAAGACAGGGGUGAAAGCCCCGGGCUUAACCUGGGAACUGCGCUUGUGACUGCCAGGCUAGAGUACGGCAGAGGGGGGUGGAAUUCCACGUGUAGCAGUGAAAUGCGUAGAGAUGUGGAGGAACACCAAUGGCGAAGGCAGCCCCCUGGGUCGAUACUGACGCUCAUGCACGAAAGCGUGGGUAGCAAACAGGAUUAGAUACCCGGGUAGUC
rnacentral:rRNA from 1 species